rnacentral:rRNA from 1 species
CUCUGACCGAGCAACGCCGCGUGAACGAUGAAGUAUUUCGGUAUGUAAAGUUCUUUUAUUGAAGAAGAAAAAAUAGUGGAAAAACUAUCUUGACGUUAUUCAAUGAAUAAGCCCCGGCUAACUAUGUGCCAGCAGCCGCGGUAAGACAUAGGGGGCGAGCGUUAUCCGGAAUUAUUGGGCGUAAAGGGUGCGUAGGCGGUUAGGAAAGUCUAUAAUUUAAUUUCAGUGCUUAACGCUGUCUUGUUAUAGAAACUACCUUGACUAGAGUUAGAUAGAGGCAAGCGGAAUUCCAUGUGUAGCGGUAAAAUGUGUAAAUAUAUGGAGGAACACCAGAAGCGUAGGCGGCUUGCUGGGUCUUGACUGACGCUGAGGCACGAAAGCGUGGGUAGCAAACAGGAUUAGAUACCCUGGUAGUCCACGCCGUAAACGAUGAGUACUAAGUGUCGGGAUAAAACUCGGUACUGAAGUUAACACAUUAAGUACUCCGCCUGAGUAGUACGUACGCAAGUAUGAAACUUAAAGGAAUUGACGGGACUCCGCACAAGCGGUGGAUCAUGUUGUUUAAUUCGAAGAUACACGAAAAAUCUUACCAGGUCUUGACAUGCUCUGCAAAGCUAUAGAAAUAUAGUGGAGGUUAUCAGGGACACAGGUGGUGCAUGGUUGUCGUCAGUUCGUGUCGUGAGAUGUUAGGUUAAGUCCUAAAACGAGCGCAACCCUUGUCGUUAGUUACCAGCACGUAAUGGUGGGCACUUUAACGAGACUGCCAAUUAAACAUUGGAGGAAGGUGAGGAUUACGUCAAAUCAUCAUGCCC